UGGUGUGUGGAGCAGUGGUUUGAGCGUCUGGACUAGGACUCUGGAGAGACCAGGGUUCGAAUCCCUGCUUGGCCA